GGCGAAACCGCGAAUGGCUCAUUAAAUCAGUUAUGGUUCACUAGAUCGUACAGUUUACAUGGAUAACUGUGGUAAUUCUAGAGCUAAUACAUGCAUCGAAUCCGUACCCUCGUGGUGCGGAUGCAGUUAUUUGCCCAAAACCAAUCCGGCCUUCGGGUCGGUCAAUUGGUGAUUCUGAAUAACCGAAGCGGAGCGCAUGGUCUCGUACCGGCGCCAGAUCUUUCAAGUGUCUGACUUAUCAGCUUGUUGUUAGGUUAUAUUCCUAACAAGGCAUCAACGGGUAACGGGGAAUGGGGCGGGGGCGGCG
rnacentral:rRNA from 1 species